CAAAGUUAUUCAUAUUAAAAAUUAAUACUAGCUAAAGGUGAAGGUACUCGGUAGUGGAAUACUCGAAUAUUACAUAACAUAAUUAAAAGGUUUCUUUCCUUUGAUUAGGGUAAAUGUGUAAAACAGAUUGUUAUAAUCAAGCACAGAAAAAUCAAUAUGUUCCACAUUUAACACCAAGCCUUUCUACAAUUCUUUCUACUAACUCACUGCAAUGAAUGAAUUAGUUUCCCAUAAAAGGGAUAAUCUUCAGGGGGGGUUAGUAGAAUCCUAAACAACAUAUAUGAACUAAAUUCACACAUGUAAUUUUUUUAUUUUCAGUUUGUCAAGCUCGUGGAGGAUGUUGUAAUGCGCUCCCAGAAGUGGCCAACAACUGUGCAGAUCCGACGAAGCAUCCGAAGCUAACAUAUUCGUCGCCCGAUUGUUCGGAUACUGAAAUGUGUUGCAUAUUCUUAACUUAAUUCCAGUUACAGCCCAGCAGACGUCCAACAAUUGUAUACAGUAAAUACGAGUAAAGUUAGCUCACAGUUCCAUCCAUUUCUGCAAGGGGUCAUUCCAGUAGUAGAAAAUGAAUUAAAAUUUAAAAAAAUGGUGAAAAUGUUUGCUUUAUUGCAAACAUCGUCGUAAUGCAUUGGCAGUGUCCUGCCUGACUGCCUGCUCAAUUGAUUUUGGAAAGGCUUCCUGAAUUGUUACCAGUUCCAUUGACAUCUCCCUUUCGGCUGCAAUCCUCUCGGCAUCAAUGGAACGCCUCAAAUUAAAUAUCCAGCUGCAAAUCCACAAAUCAAAUGCAAUCAAUUCAAAUUUCACACUUCAAUAUUCAUUAGAAAUGUAUUUUGCAUUUUACAAUUGCAAUGUAGAUGAAACCGCCAGCCAGAGGCAAUCGCCUGACUGGCUCUCAGGCUCCCUGGCUCCCUGGCUGCCUGGCUGCCUGGAUGUCUGUGGCUACAGGAGUGAGUGCCAGCAAGGACCCAGCGUCUGAGCAUCUCAGUCCGGUAUCGUUACUCAGUUGCACAAAGCGAGCAUAAAAAAUGAAAUGGAAUGGAAUUUUCAGCAAAAUUAGCUGCCAAUUGUUUUCAAUGCACAGCGUCGACAUUCAGCUGAUAAAUUGAGAGCGAACGGAGAACGGAAAUUGUGCCAAACCAAGCAAGAAAUUUCAAAUUGCCAACAGCUGUGCGCUGCAGUGCGCUUCCUUGGGUUACCCCUGGCUCUUGCUCAGUUACUGCCACUUACAGUGCGAUACUUUAAUAGAGCCAACUAAUUUAUACAUAAUUUAUAACAAUUAAAGCGGCAAACAACCAUGCGUCGGUAUAUAUGCGGCGGAUGCGCAAUGAAAAACUAUGGCCAGCCGCAAAAUGUCAGACCAAAGGUAAACCCCAGUAUGUUUAUAUAUUUGCAUGUGUAUGUUGUAGUGCCCUGCACAUAACUUAAUUAUGCAGAAGUGUAAAUGUU
rnacentral:lncRNA from 1 species